UACGUAGGGGGCAAGCGUUGUCCGGAAUCAUUGGGCGUAAAGAGCGUGUAGGCGGUUCAGCAAGUCUGCUGUGAAAGUCCAAGGCUCAACCUUGGGCUGCCGGUGGAUACUGCUGAGCUAGAGUACGGAAGAGGCGAGUGGAAUUCCCGGUGUAGCGGUGAAAUGCGCAGAUAUCGGGAGGAACACCUAUUGCGAAGGCAGCUCGCUGGGACGUCACUGACGCUGAGACGCGAAAGCGUGGGGAGCAAACAGG
rnacentral:rRNA from 1 species